UUGGUUUAUAAGCAGAUUCCCGAGAGGAUUCACGAUUUAUGUGGAUAUGCCUUGUAACCGAGUUAACUAUCCAAUUAAUUGGAUUAAAUGUAUAGGGGGAAUAUAAAGUG
rnacentral:sRNA from 2 species